ACGCUCGACACCUACGGGAGGCAGCAGUGGGGAAUAUUGCACAAUGGGGGAAACCCUGAUGCAGCGACGCCGCGUGGAGGAAGAAGGUCUUCGGAUUGUAAACUCCUGUUGUUGGGGAAAAGAGGAUGGUACCCAACAAGGAAGUGACGGCUAACUACGUGUCAGCAGCCGCGGUAAUCUGAGCGGGCUGGCAAGGC
rnacentral:rRNA from 1 species